rnacentral:piRNA from 1 species
UCACUGGGACUGAGAAUGAAUGAGUUGC